rnacentral:rRNA from 1 species
CCUACGGGAGGCUGCAGUAGGGAAUCUUCCACAAUGGGCGAAAGCCUGAUGGAGCAACGCCGCGUGGGUGAAGAAGGUCUUCGGAUCGUAAAACCCUGUUGUUAGAGAAGAAAGUGCGGGAGAGUAACUGUUCACGUUUCGACGGUAUCUAACCAGAAAGCCACGGCUAACUACGUGCCAGCAGCCGCGGGUAUACGGAGGUGGCAAGCGUUAUCCGGAUGUAUUGGGCGUAAAGGGAACGCAGGCGGUCUUAUAAGGCUGAUGUGAAAGCCUUCGGCUUAACCGGAGUAGUGCAUUGGAAACUGGGAGGCUUGAGGGCAGAAGAGGAAGGUGGAACUCCAUGUGUAGCGGUGAAAUGCGUAGAUAUAUGGAAGAACACCAGUGGCGAAAGCGGCUCUCUGGUCUGUUACUGACGCUGAGGUUCGAAAGCGUGGGUAGCAAACAGGAUUAGAUACCCCUGUAGUC